rnacentral:rRNA from 1 species
GACGAACGCUGGCGGCGUGCCUAAUACAUGCAAGUCGGGCGCAGGAAAUCGACGGAACCCUUCGGGGGGAAGUCGACGGAAUGAGCGGCGGACGGGUGAGUAACACGUAAAGAACCUGCCCUCAGGUCUGGGAUAACCACGAGAAAUCGGGGCUAAUACCGGAUGGGUCAUCGGACCGCAUGGUCCGAGGAUGAAGGGCGCUUCGGCGUCGCCUGGGGAUGGCUUUGCGGUGCAUUAGCUAGUUGGUGGGGUAAUGGCCCACCAAGGCGACGAUGCAUAGCCGACCUGGGAGGGUGAUCGGCCACACUGGGACGGAGACACGGCCCAGACUCCUACGGGAGGCAGCAGUAGGGAAUCUUCCACAAUGGACGAAAGUCUGAUGGAGCAACGCCGCGUGAACGAUGAAGGCCUUCGGGUCGUAAAGUUCUGUUGUAAGGGAAGAACAAGUGCCGCAGGCAAUGGCGGCACCUUGACGGUACCUUGCGAGAAAGCCACGGCUAACUACGUGCCAGCCGCCGCAGUAA